AUUGAACGCUGGCGGCGUGCUUAACACAUGCAAGUCGAUCGGUAACGCGGGGGCAACCCUGGCGACGAGAGGCGGACGGGUGAGGAACGCUUGGGAAUCUGCCCUUCAGCGGGGGACAACACGGGGAAACUCGUGCUAAUACCGCAUACGCUCCACGGAGGAAAGCCGGGGACCGCAAGGCCUGGCACUGAAGGAUGAGCCCAAGUCGGAUUAGCUAGUUGGCGGGGUAACGACCCACCAAGGCGACGAUCCGUAGCUGGUCUGAGAGGACGCUCAGCCACACUGGGACUGAGACACGGCCCAGACUCCGACGGGAGGCAGCAGUGGGGAAUAUUGGACAAUGGGGGAAACCCUGGUCCAGCGACGCCGCGUGGGUGAAGAAGGCCUGCGGGUUGUAAAGCCCUUUCGGUAGGGACGAAAGCUCUCGACCUAACACGUCGGGAGGUUGACUUAACCUACAAAAGAAGCACCGGCUAACUCUGUGCCAGCCGCCGCAGUAAUAC
rnacentral:rRNA from 1 species